AUCCAGAUGAAGAGUCCGAGAUGGGACGAAAUGCGUGUUGUCCUGGAU
rnacentral:hammerhead_ribozyme from 1 species